rnacentral:lncRNA from 1 species
UGGGGCUGGAACUCAUGGACUGCCAGAUCAUGACCUGAGCCGAAGUUGGACGCCUAACUGACUGAGCCACCCAGGCGCCCCUCAUUUGUGUUUUUUGUUUAGGGUUUGUUGACAUUGAAUCUGUAAGUUGUCGUCUUUUGCCAAAUUUGGUAAUUUUUUAGAAAAAAAAAUAUAUAGUAACACAGUUUUUCUCCUCUUUUUCUGAAACUCCAAUGAUGUGAAUGUUAGUCCUUUUUGUACUGUUCAUGGACCCAUGAGGUUCUGUUCACUUUUGGCUGAGAAGGGAUUUCUUUUUUCUCUGUUGUUCAAUUAGGAUAAUUUCUAUUGAUCUGUCCUCAAGUUCAUUGGCUCUUUCCUCUGUCACUUACAUGCUUCUGUAAGGUGUUUUUGUUUACUUGUUUAGUUUUUGUAUUUUCAGUUCAAAUUUUUAAAUGUUUUACCUAAUUUGUUUAAAGAAUAGUACUAUCUGGGAAUGCAAGCUGGUGAACCCACUUUGGAAAACAGUAUGGAGAUUCCUCAAAAAACUAAAAUAGAACUACCCUAUGACCCAGCAGUUGCACUACUAGGCAUUUAUCCAUAGGAUACAGGUGUGCUGUUUCGAAGGGACACAUGCACCCCAUGUUUGUAGCAGCACUAUCAACAAUAGCCAAAGUAUGGAAAGAGCCCAAAUGUCCAUCGAUGGAUGUAUGGAUAAAGAAGAUGUGGUAUAUAUACACACAAUGGAGUAUUACUCAGCAAUCAAAAAAAUGAAAUCAUGCCAUUUGCAACUAUGUGGAUGGAACUGGAGGGUAUUAUGCUAAGUGAAAUUAGUCAGAGAAAGACAAAAAUCAUAUGACUUCACUCAUAUGAGGACUUUAAGAGACAAAACAGAUGAACAUAAGGGAAGGAAACAAAAAUAACAUAAAAACAGGGAGGGGGACAAAACAGAAGAGACUCACAAAUAUGAAGAACAAACUGAGGGGUUGCGGGAGGGAAGAUGGGCUAAAUGGGUAAGGGGCACUGAGGAAUCUACUCCUGAAAUCAUUGUUGAUAUGCUAACCAAUUUGGAUGUAAAUUUAAAAAAAAAUUACAAAUUAAAAAAAAAAGAAUAGUACUAUCUUCUAGUAUAUUUGUUUUCCAAUUUCUCUUUUUCCCUAUGUCUCAUGACCCAUUUUCACUGCCCCAGCUGGGUAGAUGCACAGUUGUCUGCCAGCCACAGCUGGCGUUAGCUAUGGUAAACUAUGUGCUCAAGUGAGAUAUCAAAUCCAGUAAAGAAUUUACCACAAGUUUUCUCUACUUUAUGUAAAUUUUCGCCUCUUCUGCAAUGUCUGUCCAGAUAUGUUUCUUCUCAAAGUUUAAAUCUAUUUUCUGAGAUGUUUGAAUAUAUACAUCUCAUUAGGGCAGUUUAAAUUUGGGGGGAAGAUGCUUUAGUUUUACUUCAAAGUUCAUUAUACACUAUCAGAAGCCUUAAUUUUUAUCCUUUUGAUAAAUUAUAGUUAUUUUAUAUUUGAAUGUUUGGGCUGUUGCCCUCUGGCUAAGAGGGUGGCUGGGAAAUGACUGCUUCUCAAGAUAACCUGCGAAAAGUAUCCUCUUCAUCUUUUUUUAACUUUUUUAAUGGAGAUAUAAGUGGCAUAUAACAUUGUAUAAGUUUAGGGUGUAUAAUGUGUUACGCAACAUAAUUAUAUAUAUAUAUAUAUAUAUAUAUAUAUAUAUAAUCUGAAGCAUAUAUAUAUAUACCUCUUAAAUGUUCUCACCACUAUAUAUAUAGUGGUGAGAACAUUUAAGAGGUAGUCUCUUAGCAACUUUCAAGUUAUAAUACAAUAUUGUUAACUAUAAUCAUGAUACUGUGUAUUAGAUCGUUAGAACUUACUCAUCUUCUAAUUGCUGAGCUUGUUCCCUUGGACUAACAUCUCCCCAAUUCCCUCACUCUCUUUCCAAAUCCUCCCCCCGAAAUUUUCUAUUUUGUGUCUGUUUAUAUUUUCUAUUUCUUUGCUAAGAGUUUCUACCUUUCCAUUCAUUUCAAGAGUGUUUGCCCUUACUUCUUGGCAAACUUUUUAAUAAUAGCUGCUUUACAGUCAUUGUCAGGUAAUUCUAAUAUGUAUACAGUCUCAGUUUUGGCAUAUAUCCAUUGUCAUUUCCCAUGUAAAACCAAGAUUUUCAGGGUUCUUCUUAUGUCAAGUAAGUUUACUUUGUAUCUGAGAGAUUUUGAACUUUAAUAUUGAGACUCUGUGUGUUAUUUGAAUCCUAUAGACUAUGUUGAUAUUUUUGCUUUAGCAGGCCUGGGGGGAAUAUAAUUGUGGGGGCAGGGAGGGGCAGGUGGAUGAUAAACCCAACUCAGUUCUCUGGUACUGAUUUCUGUUCUUCUGCAAUUCCAGCUAUUAUUUACUUUUCAUUGUCUUCAGACUAUUCCACACAUUCUAUCUAGGUUUUUUAGCUGGAUCAGGGGAAGAGAAAUAGUAGAGUUCAGUUACUACUUUUUACCCUGAACCUGAACUCACUGUGUCUUUUUUUUUUACAGAUAAACUUGAUGCAAAUUUUCUGAACAUCUAUUACCACAAGGAAUGACCAAUAGUGUUAAUAUUUUUUUGUCUUAAACCCAAUCCUACAUCAUUAAUUGUGUGAAAUAAAGCCACCAUAGAAACUCCCAUAUCAUAGAGUAUCAUGGGGACUUAAUUUUUUCUAAUUACUGAUGUGAUAUGUGUGGGGUUCAGAGAUUUUGAAAAAUAUAGCCAAUAUGUAAAAGGAGCCAUUGCUAAAAUUUGGUUAUAGAGUUUCUAAGAUUUUGUUCUUUGUUUAUAUGUACAGAUUUUAAGCAAAUGUAGAAACAUAUUGCUUUGUUACUUUUUCUUUAACAUAAUAAUACUGUAUAUUGACCAGUGUUUU